rnacentral:rRNA from 1 species
GGUUACCUUGUUACGACUUGAUCCUGGCUCAGGACGAACGCUGGCGGCGUGCUUAACACAUGCAAGUCGAACGGUGAAGAGGAGCUUGCUCCUUGGAUCAGUGGCGAACGGGUGAGUAACACGUGAGCAAUCUGCCCUUGACUCUGGGAUAACUGCGGGAAACUGUAGCUAAUACCGGAUUUUACCUUGGAAGGCAUCUUCUGGGGUGGAAAGAAUUUUGGUCAAGGAUGAGCUCGCGGCCUAUCAGCUAGUUGGUGAGGUAAUGGCUCACCAAGGCGACGACGGGUAGCCGGCCUGAGAGGGUGACCGGCCACACUGGGACUGAGACACGGCCCAGACUCCUACGGGAGGCAGCAGUGGGGAAUAUUGCACAAUGGGCGCAAGCCUGAUGCAGCAACGCCGCGUGAGGGACGACGGCCUUCGGGUUGUAAACCUCUUUUAGUAGGGAAGAAGCGACUGGGUUUUCCUGGGAGUGACGGUACCUGCAGAAAAAGCACCGGCUAACUACGUGCCAGCAGCCGCGGUAAUACGUAGGGUGCAAGCGUUGUCCGGAAGUUAUUGGGCGUAAAGAGCUCGUAGGCGGUUUGUCGCGUCUGCUGUGAAAACCCGAGGCUCAACCUCGGGCCUGCAGUGGGUACGGGCAGACUAGAGUGCGGUAGGGGAGAUUGGAAUUCCUGGUGUAGCGGUGGAAUGCGCAGAUAUCAGGAGGAACACCAAUGGCGAAGGCAGAUCUCUGGGCCGUAACUGACGCUGAGGAGCGAAAGCAUGGGGAGCGAACAGGAUUAGAUACCCUGGUAGUCCAUGCCGUAAACGUUGGGAACUAGAUGUGGGGACCAUUCCACGGUCUCCGUGUCGCAGCUAACGCAUUAAGUUCCCCGCCUGGGGGAGUACGGCCGCAAGGCUAAAACUCAAAGGAAUUGACGGGGGCCCGCCACAAGCGGCGGGAGCAUGCGGAUUAAUUCGAUGCAACGCGAAAAACCUUACCUACCCUUGACAUGGUCGGAACCCUUAAGAGAUUAGGGGGUGCUCGAAAGAGAGCCGAUACACAGGUGCUGCAUGGCUGUCGUCAGCUCGUGUCGUGAGAUGUUGGGUUAAGUCCCGCAACGAGCGCAACCCUUGUCAUUAGUUGCUACGAAAGGGCACUCUAAUGAGACUGCCGGUGACUAACCGGAGGAAGGUGGGGAUGACGUCAAGCCCUCAUGGCCCUUAUGGGUAGGGCUUCACACGUCAUACAAUGGUACAUACAGAGGGCCGCCAACCCGCGAGGGGGAGCUAAUCCCAGAAAGUGUAUCGUAGUCCGGAUUGUAGUCUGCAACUCGACUACAUGAAGUUGGAAUCGCUAGUAAUCGCGGAUCAGCAUGUCGCGGUGAAUACGUUCCCGGGUCUUGUACACACCGCCCGUCACACCAUGGGAGCGGGUUUUACCAGAAGUAGGUAGCUUAACCGCAAGGGGGGCGCUUACCACGGUAGGAUUCGUGACUGGGGUGAAGUCUGAGCCAGGAUCAAACUCUACC